UGCCUGCCCAGUGACAAAUGUUCAACGGCCGCGGUAUUUUGACCGUGCGAAGGUAGCGCAAUCACUUGUCUUUUAAAUGAAGACCUGUAUGAAUGGCAACACGAGGGCUUGACUGUCUCCUCUCCCAAGUCAAUGAAAUUGAUCUCCCCGUGCAGAAGCGGGGAUACUUACAUAAGACGAGAAGACCCUAUGGAGCUUUAGACAUAAAGCAGCCCGCGUUAAGCGCCCCUCAAGAAGGGGCAGAAACAAGCCGAGCUCUGCCCGAAUGUCUUUGGUUGGGGCGACCGCGGGGCAAUACAAAACCCCCAUGUGGRCCGGGGUUACUAACCCCACAGCCGAGAGCUCCCGCUCUAAGCACCAGAACCAUCUGGCCAAACAGAUCCGGCAACGCCGAUCAACGAACCGAGUUACCCUAGGGAUAACAGCGCAAUCCUCUUCUAGAGCCCAUAUCGACAAGGGGGUUUACGACCUCGAUGUUGGAUCAGGAUAUCCUAAUGGUGCAGCCGCUAUUAAGGG
rnacentral:rRNA from 1 species